AGUGAACGCUGGCGGCAGGCCUAACACAUGCAAGUCGAGCGGCAGCGCGGGGGCAACCCUGGCGGCGAGCGGCGGACGGGUGAGGAAUUCGUCGGAAUCUGCCUUUUUGUGGGGGAUAACGUAGGGAAACUUACGCUAAUACCGCAUACGUCCUACGGGAGAAAGUGGGGGACCGCAAGGCCUCACGCAGAAAGAUGAGCCGACGACCGAUUAGCUAGUUGGUGGGGUAAAGGCCCACCAAGGCGACGAUCGGUAGCUGGUCUGAGAGGAUGAUUGGCCACACUGGGACGGAGACAGGGACAAGACUCCUACGGGAGGCAGCAGUGGGGAAUAUUGGACAAUGGGCGCAAGCCUGAUCCAGCCAUGCCGCGUGUGUGAAGAAGGCCUUCGGGUUGUAAAGCACUUUUGUCCGGAAAGAAAUCCCUGGAGCUAAUACCUUCGGGGGAUGACGGUACCGGAAGAAUAAGCACCGGCUAACUUCGUG
rnacentral:rRNA from 1 species